rnacentral:rRNA from 1 species
CACCUACGGGUGGCUGCAGUCGAGGAUCUUCGUCAAUGGGCGCAAGCCUGAACGAGCGACACCGCGUGCGCGAUGAAGGCCUUCGGGUUGUAAAGCGCGAAAGUGGAGAGAAAGGGAAACUUGAUCAAUCCACAGUAAGGACGGGCUAAGUUCGUGCCAGCAGCCGCGGUAAGACGAACUGUCCUAACGUUGUUCGGAAUCACUGGGCUUAAAGGGCGCGUAGGCGGUCCGACAAGUCAGGGGUGAAAUCUUGCAGCUUAACUGUAAAAGUGCCUUUGAUACUGUCGGUCUUGAGGGAAAUAGGGGUGUGCGGAACUUCCAGUGGAGCGGUGAAAUGCGUUGAUAUUGGAAGGAACGCCGGAGGCGAAAGCGGCGCACUGGAUUUCUUCUGACGCUGAGGCGCGAAAGCUAGGGGAGCAAACGGGAUUAGAUACCCCGGUAGUCCUAGCCCUAAACGUUGAGUACUAGAUUGUAGACUUUCAUGGGUUUACAGUCGAAGCAAAAGUGUUAA